rnacentral:rRNA from 1 species
AUUGAACGCUGGCGGCAUGCCUUACACAUGCAGGUCGAACGGCAGCACGGGAGCAAUCCUGGUGGCGAGUGGCGAACGGGUGAGUAAUAUAUCGGAACGUGCCCAGUAGUGGGGGAUAACUGCUCGAAAGAGCAGCUAAUACCGCAUACGACCUGAGGGUGAAAGGGGGGGAUCGCAAGACCUCUCGCUAUUGGAGCGGCCGAUAUCAGAUUAGCUAGUUGGUGGGGUAAAGGCCUACCAAGGCAACGAUCUGUAGUUGGUCUGAGAGGACGACCAGCCACACUGGGACUGAGACACGGCCCAGACUCCUACGGGAGGCAGCAGUGGGGAAUUUUGGACAAUGGGCGCAAGCCUGAUCCAGCAAUGCCGCGUGCAGGAAGAAGGCCUUCGGGUUGUAAACUGCUUUUGUCAGGGAAGAAAUCCUCUAGGUUAAUACCCUUGGGGGGAUGACGGUACCUGAAGAAUAAGCACCGGCUAACUACAUGCCAGCAGCCGCCGUAAGAC